CGUGCUUAACACAUGCAAGGUCGAACGGAGUGCCUAUGAUAGAGACUUCGGUCAAUGGAUUAGGUUACUUAGUGGCGGACUGGUGAGUAACGCGUGAGGAACCUGCCUUUCAGAGGGGGACAACAGUUGGAAACGACUGCUAAUACCGCAUGACACAUCGAUGGGGCAUCCCAUUGAUGUCAAAGAUUUAUCGCUUUGCGAUGGGUCUGCGUCUGAUUAGCUAGUUGGUGGGGCAACGGCCUACCAAGGCGACGAUCAGUAGCCGGUCUGAGAGGAUGAACGGCCACAUUGGAACUGAGACACGGUCCAGACUCCUACGGGAGGCAGCAGUGGGGAAUCUUCCGCAAUGGGCGAAAGCCUGACGGAGCAACGCCGCGUGAGUGAAGAAGGUCUUCGGAUCGUAAAGCUCUGUUGUCGGGGACGAAUGUUGAGACCUAGAACAUAGGUUUCAAAUGACGGUACCUGACGAGGAAGCCACGGCUAACUACGUG
rnacentral:rRNA from 1 species